CGGUGGAUGAUGUGGAUUAAUUCGAUGCAACGCGAAGAACCUUACUACCCUUGACAUGUCCGGAACUUGCCAGAGAUGGCUUGGUGCCCGAAAGGGAACCGGAACACAGGUGCUGCAUGGCUGUCGUCAGCUCGUGUCGUGAGAUGUUGGGUUAAGUCCCGCAACGAGCGCAACCCUUGUCCUUAGUUGCUACGCAAGGGCACUCUAAGGAGACUGCCGGUGACAAACCGGAGGAAGGUGGGGAUGACGUCAAGUCCUCAUGGCCCUUAUGGGUAGGGCUUCACACAUCAUACAAUGGUCGGUACAGAGGGUUGCCAACCCGCGAGGGGGAGCUAAUCCCACAAAGCCGAUCGUAGUCCGGAUCGCAGUCUGCAACUCGACUGCGUGAAGUCGGAAUCGCUAGUAAUCGUGGAUCAGCAUGUCACGGUGAAUACGUUCCCGGGUCUU
rnacentral:rRNA from 1 species